rnacentral:rRNA from 1 species
CCUACGGGGGGCAGCAGUGAGGAAUAUUGCCCAAUGGGGGAAACCCUGAUGCAGCGACGCCGCGUGAGUGAAGAAGUAUUUAGGUAUGUAAAGCUCUAUCAGCCGGGAAGAAAAUGACGGUACCUGACUAAGAAGCCCCGGCUAACUCCGUGCCAGCAGCCGCGGUAAUACGUCGGGGGCAAGCGUUAUCCGGAUUUACUGGGUUUAAAGGGAGGGUAGACGGCCAGACAAGUCAGAAGGGAAAGCGCAGGGCUCAACCCUGGGACUGCUUUUGAAACUGCCGGGCUGGAGUGCAGGAGAGGUAAGCGGAAUGCCUGGUGUAGCGGUGAAAUGCGUAGAGAUUAGGAGGAACACCAGUGGCGAAGGCGGCUUACUGGACUGUAACUGACGUUGAGGCUCGAAAGCGUGGGGAGCAAACAGGAUUAGAUACCCCAGUAGUC